rnacentral:rRNA from 1 species
AUGGAGGGGGCAUUCUGGUGCCAGCAGCCGCGGUAAUUCCAAGUUCCAAUAGCGUUUAUAUAAAGUUGGUUGCAGUUAUAAAAGCUCUGUAGUGUGAGAUAUUCGGGGUUAGGUAGGUUGGUCAUGCCUCUGGUAUGUACCUGUUCUCACUGGAUUCCUUCCUUCCUGAUGAACCGUAAUGCCAUUAAUUUGGUGUUGCGGGGGAAUUUGGACUGUUACUUUGAAAAAAUUAGAGUGUUUAAAGCAAGCUAACGCUUGAAUACAUUAGCAUGGAAUAAUGAAAUAGGACGUUCGAUCCUAUUUUGUUGGUUUCUAGGAUUGACGUAAUGAUUAAUAGGGAUAGUUGGGGGCAUUAGUAUUCAAUUGUCAGAGGUGAAAUUCUUGGAUUUAUUGAAGACUAACUACUGCGAAAGCAUUUGCCAAGGAUGUUUUCAUUAAUCAAGAACGAAAGUUAGGGGAUCGAAGACGAUCAGAUACCGUCGUAGUCUUAACCAUAAACUAUGCCGACUAGGAUCGGAUGAGUAUUAAUUUUUUAAUGACUCAUUCGGCGCCUACCCGGGGAAACA